UACGUAGGUGGCAAGCGUUGUCCGGAAUUAUUGGGCGUAAAGAGCUCGUAGGCGGUGUGUCGCGUCGGCCGUGAAAACCUGCAGCUUAACUGUGGGCGUGCGGUCGAUACGGGCAUCACUGGAGUUCGGCAGGGGAGACUGGAAUUCCUGGUGUAGCGGUGAAAUGCGCAGAUAUCAGGAGGAACACCGGUGGCGAAGGCGGGUCUCUGGGCCGAUACUGACGCUGAGGAGCGAAAGCGUGGAGAGCGAACAGG
rnacentral:rRNA from 1 species